AACGAACGCUGGCGGCAUGCCUAACACAUGCAAGUCGAACGAGACCUUCGGGUCUAGUGGCGCACGGGUGCGUAACGCGUGGGAACCUGCCCUUAGGUUCGGAAUAACUCCCCGAAAGGGGUGCUAAUACCGGAUAAUGUCUUCGGACCAAAGAUUUAUCGCCUUUGGAUGGGCCCGCGUUGGAUUAGCUAGUUGGUAGGGUAAAAGCCUACCAAGGCGACGAUCCAUAGCUGGUCUGAGAGGAUGAUCAGCCACACUGGGACUGAGACACGGCCCAGACUCCUACGGGAGGCAGCAGUGGGGAGUAUUGGACAAGGGGCGAAAGCCUGAUCCAGCAAUGCCGCGUGAGUGAUGAAGGCCUUAGGGUUGUAAAGCUCUUUUACCCGGGAUGAUAAUGACAGUACCGGGAGAAUAAGCGCCGGCUAACUCCGUG
rnacentral:rRNA from 1 species